CUGACAGUGAGGUGAUGAUGAUGAAGGUGAACCAGGUAGAUGUGAUGUUUGUAGACUGACAGUGAGGUGAUGAUGAUGAUGAAGGUGAACCAGGUAGAUGUGAUGUUUGUAGACUGACAGUGAGGUGAUGAUGAUGAUGAUGAUGAUGAAGGUGAACCAGGUAGAUGUGAUGUUUGUAGACUGACAGUGAGGUGAUGAUGAUGAUGAAGGUGAACCAGGUAGAUGUGAUGUUUGUAGACUGACAGUGAGGUGAUGAUGAUGAUGAUGAAGGUGAACCAGGUAGAUGUGAUGUUUGUAGACUGACAGUGAGGUGAUGAUGAUGAUGAUGAUGAUGGUGAACCAGGUAGAUGUGAUGUUUGUAGACUGACAGUGAGGUGGUGAUGAUGAUGAUGAUGAUGAUGAAGGUGAACCAGGUAGAUGUGAUGUUUGUAGACUGACAGUGAGGUGAUGAUGAUGAUGAUGAAGGUUAACCAGGUAGAUGUGAUGUUUGUAGACUGACAGUGAGGUGGUGAUGAUGAUGAUGAUGAUGAUGAUGAUGAUGAUGAUGAUGAUGAAGGUGAAUCAGCAGCUUCAUCUCUUUGUUUUCUCCACAGCUGAAGAUCUUUGACUGGAUGUGACUUCAUCAGCUGAACUCCAUCAGUGUUGUUGUAGUGACAGAGUGCAGCUCUUCCAGCAGGGGGCGCUCUGCUAUGAAUCAGUGUGAGGACACAGAGGUCCCUCCCUCUAAAACCUCUCUGUGUGAGGAACAUGAAGCUCUGAGGAUGCAGGAACAGAGACCAGACUCUCCUGGACCCAGCUGUGUGUCCAUGAAGAGUGACCAGUCUAAACUUCUUCCUAUCUUCUUUAAAGAUGGACGUCCAGCUGAUGGAAGGGGGACGAAGAGGACUCAUGUUAUAGAGGAGCAGCCGUCCUGUGCUGAGUGUCAGGACGUCCUGAAGGAUCCCGUCUCUACCAGCUGUGGACACUGGUUCUGCAGACAGUGCAUCACCUCAUACUGGGACCAGUCUGGUUCACCAGGAGACUCGUCCUGUUCUCAGUGUGUAAAAAGAUCCAGAACAGGACCUGGACUGCAGCCAGUCAGUCAGAGCCGCACUGAACAAAUAGAUAGAGGUCUGCAGGAGGUUUUAGAUGAACAUAAGGUCAGUCUGAGGACGAGAUGUGAACGUGUGACUGAAGGAAGUGAUGAAACAGGAAGUAGAACCCUCCUCAACAGGAUCUACACUGAGCUCUACAUCACAGAGGGACAGAGUGAAGAGGUGAACACCCAACAUGAGGUGAGACAGAUUGAGACAGACUCUAAAAAGAAGACCCUCCAUGAGACUCCAAUCAAGUGCCAGGACAUAUUUAAAGCCUUACCCGACCAACAGAAACAAAAGACAGAAGCUCAACAGAAUCACAUCAGAGUGGUUCUGACAAACGGCGUCGCUGGUGUUGGAAAAACCUUCUCAGUGCAGAAGUUCACUCUGGACUGGGCAGAGGGCUCAGAGAACCAAGACAUCAGUCUGGUGAUCCUGCUUUCAUUCAGGGAGCUGAACUUGAUCAGAGAUAAGCAGUACAGUCUUCUUGAGCUGCUCCGUGUUUUUCAUCCAACAUUACAGAAGAUCACAGCAGAGACGCUCGCUGUCUGUAAACUAUUGUUCAUCUUUGACGGCCUGGAUGAAAGCAGACUGUCGUUGGACUUCACAAACAGGGAGGUUGUGUCUGAUGUCACACAGAAUUCAUCAUUAAACCCACUGUUCACAAACCUCAUCAAGGGGAAUCUGCUCCCUUCCGCUCUCAUCUGGAUAACUUCUCGACCUGCAGCAGCCAAUCACAUCCCUCAUUCAUGUGUUGACAGGAUUACAGAAGUACGAGGCUUCACUGAUUCCCAGAAAGAAGAGUACUUCAGGAGGAGGUUCAGUGAUGAUGAAGAUCUGUCCAGCAGAAUCAUCUCACACGUCAAGACAUCCAGGAGCCUCCAAAUUAUGUGUCUGAUCCCAGUCUUCUGCUGGAUCACUGCCACAGUUCUGGAGCACAUGAUGACCACAGAGCAGAGAGGAGAGCUGCCCAAGACCCUAACUGACCUGUACUCACACUUCCUGCUGGUCCAGACAAAGAGACAGAAGCACAAGUAUGAUGAGGGACGUGAGAUGAGUCCACAUGAGCUGAUUGAGGCCGACAGGGAAGUUCUUCUGAAGCUGGGGAGGCUGGCGUUUGAACAUCUGGAGCAAGGAAACAUCAUGUUCUACCAAGAAGACCUGGAGCGGUGUGGUCUGGAUGUCACAGAGGCCUCAGUGUACUCAGGAGUUUGUACUGAGAUCUUCAAAAGAGAGUGUGUGAUCCUCCAGAAAACAGUCUACUGCUUUGUUCAUCUGAGCGUUCAGGAGUUUCUGGCUGCAGUCUACAUGUUCCGCUGUUUCACCAACAGGAACACAACAGUUCUGAAGGCUUUUCUGGGAGAAACAUCUGUAGAUUCAACUCUUGAUGUUCUCCUAAAUGAAGCAAUGGAGAAAUCCCUGAAAAGUCAGAACGGUCAUCUGGACCUGUUUGUUCGCUUCCUUCAUGGUCUCUCUCUGGAGUCAAACCAGAGAAUCUUAGGAGGCCUUCUGGGUCAGACAGACAACAUUCCAGAAAUGAUCCAGAGAGUCAUCAACAACCUGAAGAAGAUGAACAGUUAUGAAAUCUCUCCAGACAGAAGCAUCAAUAUCUUCCACUGUCUGAUGGAGAUGAACGACCUCUUAGUCCAUCAGGAGAUCCAAGAGUUACUGAAGUCAAAGAACGGAUCAGAGAAGGAACUCUCUGAGAUCCACUGCUCUGCUCUGGCCUACAUGCUGCAGAUGUCCGAGGAGGUUCUGGAUGACUUGGACCUGAAGAAGUACACCACAUCAGACCAGGGACGACGGAGACUGAUUCCAGCUGUGAGGAACUGCAGGAAGGCUAAACUUUCUGACUGUGACCUCUCAGAGACUCACUUUGACGUUGUGGCCUCAGCUCUGAAGUCCAACCCCUCCCACCUCAGAGAGCUGGACCUGAGCCUCAUCAAGCUGGAGGAUUCAGGAGUGAAGCUGUCUGCUGGACUGCAGAGUCCAAACUGCAGACUUGAGUCACUGAGAUUGAGGGAAUGCAGUUUGUCAGAGAGCAGCUGUUCUUCUCUGGCCUCCGCUCUGAAGUCCAACCCCUCCCAUCUCAGACAGCUGGACCUGAGUGACAACAACCUGCAGGAUUCAGGAGUGAAGCUGCUGUGUGAUUAUCUGCAGAGUCCAAACUGUAGACUGGAGACUCUGAGAUUGAGUGUCUGCAGUAUAUCAGAGAUCAGCUGUUCUUCUCUAGCCUCAGCUCUGAAGUCCAACCCCUCCCAUCUCAGAGAACUGGACCUGUGUGUCAACGAGCUGCAGGAUUCAGGGGUGAAGCUGCUGUGUGAUUAUCUUCAGAGUCCAAACUGCAGACUGGAGACUCUGAGAUUGAGAUGGUGCAGUUUGUCAGAGAUCAGCUGUUCUUCUCUGGCCUCAGCUCUGAAGUCCAACCCCUCCCAUCUCAGAGAGCUGGACCUGAGCAUCAACAACCUGCAGGAUUCAGGAGUGAAGCUGCUGUGUGAUUAUCUGCAGAGUCCAAACUGUAGACUGGAGACUCUGAGAUUGAGUGACUGCAGUUUGUCAGAGAUCAGCUGUUCUUAUCUGGCCUCAGCUCUGAAGUCCAACCCCUCCCAUCUCAGAGAGCUGAACCUGAGUGAGAACAAGCUGCAGGAUUUAGGGGUGAAGCUGCUGUGUGACUAUUUUCAGAGUCCAAACUGCAGACUGCAGACUCUGAGAUUGAGUCUCUGCAGUUUGUCAGAGAUUAGCUGUUCUUCUCUGGCCUCAGCUCUGAAGUCCAACCCCUCCCAUCUCAGAGAGCUGUACCUGAACUACAAUAAGCUGCAGGAUUCAGCAGUGAAGCUGCUGUGUGAUCUUAAGAAGAAUCCAAACUAUCGCCUCCAGACUCUGAGGAUUCUAUCUAACAAAGACUGUGUUGGGUCAACCAAAGCCUGGAGGUUGUUUUGUUCUCUGAGGAGAAAGUAGGACAGACCAACGCUGUGUGUGUCUCUGAGUGUGUGUGGCCAUGAAGCUCCCAUAACUCAUGUAAAAUCACUCACUCAGACACCAAUAGAAAACUGUUCUGUGGUUCACUGUCAAAGUACAAAGCUGGGCUGAUGAUCUCUGACAGAAUGUGAGCGAUCAGGACGCUGGUGGUGCAGAGAGGAGCAGCUGUGUCCUGAUGAUCCACAGAGGAUGAAUCUCCACCAUCUUGUGGGUGGAGAAAAUCUGCAAGCUUGGGAGAGCUUCAUCCAUCAACGACUGACAGAGGAAUCACAUCAAAGUUCAUUUCAGUUAUAUUUCUAAUGAAUUUGUUCUACCUACAUUACAGGAGUGGAAGGUAAAAAAUGUAUCAGCUGGUAGAAAUGUUAAGAGGUCAAAAGCUACCAAGAAAUGCUGCAGUUAUUCUUCUCAUGUGAUGAUUAUUUGUAUUAUAUUUCUUACAAAAAGUACAAACCAGAACUUGAUCAAAUGAACAUGUAAUUAAUUAAAAUCAUAUUCUCUCUAUAGCCUCUUUAAAAGAUGCACCGCAUUCUUAAAAUGUCCUGACCUUUUCAAGCUGAGCUGCAUGUGUGAACAGCGAGUUUCAUUUCAGACUACACAUUGGACGUUGGCUUGAGAAUUUGUUUUUGACACUGAUCAUUAAAAAAAUGUUGUUUAUAUGUUUCUCUUCUGGUCGGCAUCCUGCAUUAACUGCAUUAGAUGUUAAGAUCAAUGGUCGGUCAAUGAGUCAGGUUUCUGAGGUCUACUGCUGGAUUCUUGUCUGACAUUCCAAUUAUAGUCUGAGGAAAUCAGGCUAUUAUCACGAUUAUUUUUGCAUGAAUUUCACAACAUUACAUACAUGUAUAAAAUCCCAUAAACAGUAAAUGGUAAAUGGACUUGAGUUUGUAAAGCGCUUUUCUAGUCUUCUGACUUUUACAGCGCAGGUGCAAGGGAAUUUUGGUAAACUUAUCUUUAUAACAGGAGUAAUUAAAAGCAGAAAGGGGGGAAACUGGCUCUAUAUUUCAGGAAUUCCUGAAUCAGCUCUCUUUGACCUACCAACCUGGUAAUUACACUCUUUAAGAAAGGUGUGAUUGCCUUUAAGCAGAUGUUCUGCUAUUGAUUGUAUGUAGGUGUAGUUGUCUUCUGUAGUGUUUUAUUGUUUUAAAUGUUUUUUGAUAUAUUGAGAAUGUAGCAGGGAUUUCUGUAUUUAAGGUCAGUGUGAAAUACCCUUCUGGAGAGAAAAUCAUGGGAACUCUUUUCUCACCGAGAUCACGUUAAUUAAAGGUUCCCUGGGUCAUA